UACGGGGGGAGCAAGCGUUGUUCGGACUUACUGGGCGUAAAGGGCGCGUAGGCGGUCAGCACAAGUCAGUUGUGAAAUCUCCGGGCUUAACUCGGAACGGUCAAGUGAUACUGUCGCGCUAGAGUGCGGAAGGGGCAAUCAGAAUUCUUGGUGUAGCGGUGAAAUGCGUAGAUAUCAAGAGGAAUACCUGAGGUGAAGACGGGUUGCUAGGCCGACACUGACGCUGAAGCGCGAAAGCCAGGGGAGCAAACGGG
rnacentral:rRNA from 1 species